UUCAGUCUAUUCACAUAGCACCAUCAAAUCAACACGGGAUUGUAACCCUUAUUUGUUUCUUGUGGAAGAUAUCGUAAGUGUUUACCAACAAAGACAAAUGCUGCUGGAGGAAGCUAAGAUUUCAUGCAUUAUCUCUUUAAUAUAAUGAGAAGUAGAACAAGCAACAAGCCUCAAGGUACUCAAGUGUUUAUAAAUGUGCUUAACUACUGCUAUUAUACCAUACUUCAAACAGUAUGCCUACUCUCCUAAUUAAACUGAAUUCCCAUAUGUAAGACACCUCAUUAUAUUGUAGACAAAAUAGCCUUCUGGAGUAGUUACUGCUACUAUUGUGCAUGAGGAUUACAAGAUUUAAUAUAAUUUCAUUUUCAAAAGAAAUUUAGAAUUAUGUUUCAUUGGUAUUAAAUUCAAUCUUUAUUUCCUUGGUGAUUGCAAAAAAUCUAGUAACUAUACGAAGUAUGCAUGAGUGAUUUAUCUAUAAGCUUCUGCAGAGCUAAUAGGACCUGCAUAAUACACUUUAUACCAUUAUGUAAAUUUCUUUGAUACUUCCUGAAGGAAUUUUCAGAUGUUUGGUAAACUCAUAAUUGCUAGGAUAUCUGCAUAAAUGCUGAAUGUACUGGAAAUGUUUUCCAGGUUAAAGACAAAUAUACAAAUAGCAUUUCUCACACAGAUAUGACUGAAGAAUGCAUAGUAGAUUAAUUUGUAUACAUAUUUUAUGCUGUUUUAGCUGUGUUUUAAAUGUAGGCCUUGCCUACAUUUCAGAGAAGGGAUGAAAAUUUUCUGCUAAUUAGAUACAAAAAGCAACCAUUUUUUGGCUGAAUCUACUGACACAAGAGCUUUGCUAUUUCAACAGCUUCAGCACAACUGGCAAUGCAUCUUUCACAUGGAAAAAUAUAAGCACUAAGCCAAUUAGAUAAUUUCUAUUUAAUUCACCAAAAGCCUUUUUUUAUUUUGCUCAGACUACAGUCAGAUUAAUUUUUUGUACUCUGCUGUUUCCAGCACAGAGUUCUAGAUACAUUGCAGCAAAAGGAAUUCUUCUUACACAGGUUGUCAGUUCCCUCAUAUACUUCACCCAUACACAUAACCUUUCAUAUGCUCACAGCCUCUGCUCCUCCUGCCAGCUGCUGUUUAUAUUGGCUGAAAUCACAAGUAUCUUCUCAAACUAGGCAAUCAUGUCUUGAUGUUAAUUUCAGUUCUUUUAAUGCCUUCUAAUCCAAUCCUAUAAUUGCAGUCUCUCAAGUCCUAUAGCAUAUCUUCUAACUAGGUCACAUAGAAUUAAGCAAUAUUUGAUGUCUAAGCAUUUGUUAAUAUAUCAUAAAUCUCUUAAAGAUCAAUUAACUGUCCCUAGAGAACACAAGCAAUUAUUAACAAGAUAGUAAAACUACAGUUCUCAAGAGACUAAGACAUUCAGUUGCGUUCAUCAUGUGUCACUUCUGUAAGGCAUUUGCAUUGUUCUGGUGGAUAUCUCUCUAAUUAAGGUUAGUUACACUCAUUUUAUCCCUGCUAGUCUCUACAAUACAAUUCAAGAACACGCACAGUCAUGCUGGAUAAAGAUAUGGAAGCUGUCAUGCUUCCAUAUCUUGAUGACCUGCUAUUUCUAAAAACAUUUUCUCUUCCUCUGCUAAAGUGUACUCUAACAAAUAAGCAAGUUUACAUAAUUCAAAUAAACAUCCUCUAAGAGAACACUGAAAGAGCAAGGUUUGAAGCUUCUCACUGCUCACACACAUAAGCUACUGUUUGUAUAUGUAAGUGAGGAAUUGUUGGUAUGCAUAGUAACACUUAGAAGCAAACUCUGAAGAGUAUCAGCUAGCUGUUCUGAUCAAGGUCAUACAGCAAAGCCUAUUCGUAAUGUUUAGUGGCCUAGGGGAACCCAGAUUUCCAUUCCCAAGAGAGUAAUCCUUUCUCACUCAGAUAUCUUGAAGGAUUGCCCAUGUUUUUAUAUAGUACAGCUUAACCUCAGUUCUUCAUUUACAGAACAGCAACACAGCCACUUUUCAUUUGUUGGGUCUUGUCUCUCCUCCAUCUCCUCCCCCUUACCUAAGAAGCCAUAGAUACAACAUUAAUAUGCACGAUUAUGACCGUUCAAAGAGUCUAAGCAAGAAUGACAGUGUUGAAACUCAGACACUGAAUUUGUGUGAUGAUCCACUGGUCUCAGUACAGUCAGCUUAAUCUUUACUCAAGGUAUCUUCAUCUUUUCUCAAGGAAUCUCCUUGAGAUGUCCUGUUCAUCAACAUUUCUCUAUCAGAAUUGACCAUCUCACUCUAUGAUGUGCAGAGAUGUCAGUACAGCACCAGAAACAUAUUUCACAGGCAUUAGAGAGAAAGCACAUCAUCUGUACAGCCGAGAGCUGAAGAACUGGUAUGGCUGUGUUUUGGAUCACGUCUCUGCUCCACAACUAUUUAAGCAUCUCACAGUC